rnacentral:rRNA from 1 species
ACUGCUCAGUAACACGUGGCUAAUCUGCCCUUGGGACUAGAACAACCCCGUGAAACUGGGGCUAACUCUAGAUAGGUGAAGAACUCUGGAAUGAGUCUUUGCCUAAAUAGGUUCACGUUAUCCUCGUGAACUUGCCCAAGGAUGAGGCCGCGACCGAUCAGGUUGUUGGCGAGGUAAUGGCUCACCAAGCCUUUUACCGGUGCGGGCCGUGGGAGCGGGAGUCCGGAGAUGGGUACUGAGACAAGGACCCAGGCCCUACGGGGCGCAGCAGUCGCGAAACCUUUGCAAUACACGAAAGUGUGACAGGGCUAUCCCGAGUGCCAUCCGCUGAGGAAGGCUUUUACCCAGUCUAGAACGCUGGGGGAAUAAGGAGAGGGCAAGUCUGGUGUCAGCCGCCGCGGUAAUACCAGCUCUCCGAGUGGUGUGGAUGUUUAUUGGGCCUAAAGCAUCCGUAGCUGGCUAGGUAAGUACCUUGUUAAAUCCACCGAAUUAAUCGUUGGAUCGCGGGGGAUACUGCUUGGCUAGGGGACGAGAGAGGCAGACGGUAUUUUCGGGGUAGGGGUGAAAUCCUAUAAUCCCGGGAAGACCACCAGUGGCGAAGGCUGUCUGCUAGAACGCGCCCGACGGUGAGGGAUGAAAGCUGGGGGAGCGAACCGGAUUAGAUACCCGGGUAGUCCCAGCCGUAAACGAUGCAGACUAGGUGUUUGGACGGCCACGUGCCGUUCUAGUGCCGCAGGGAAGCUGUUAAGUCUGCCGCCUGGGGAGUACGAUCGCAAGAUUGAAACUUAAAGGAAUUGGCGGGGGAGCA